rnacentral:rRNA from 1 species
CAGCAGCCGCGGUAAUACGAAGGGUGCAAGCGUUAAUCGGAAUUACUGGGCGUAAAGCGCACGCAGGCGGUCUGUCAAGUCAGAUGUGAAAUCCCCGAGCUUAACUCGGGAACUGCAUCUGAAACUGGCAAGCUAGAGUCUUGUAGAGGGGGGUAGAAUUCCAGGUGUAGCGGUGAAAUGCGUAGAGAUCUGGAGGAAUACCGGUGGCGAAGGCGGCCCCCUGGACAGAGACUGACGCUCAGGUGCGAAAGCGUGGGGAGCAAACAGGAUUAGAUACCCCGGUAGUCCCUGUCUCUUAUAC